UACGUAGGGUGCAAGCGUUAAUCGGAAUUACUGGGCGUAAAGCGUGCGCAGGCGGUUUUUCAAGACAGAUGUGAAAUCCCCGGGCUUAACCUGGGAAUGGCAUUUGUGACUGGAAGGCUAGAGUGUGUCAGAGGGGGGUAGAAUUCCACGUGUAGCAGUGAAAUGCGUAGAGAUGUGGAGGAACACCGAUGGCGAAGGCGGGUCUCUGGGCCGAAACUGACGCUCAUGCACGAAAGCGUGGGGAGCAAACAGG
rnacentral:rRNA from 1 species